CAGAUGCAAGCUGGGCGGGGGAAUUAACAAAUCGUCGCUCCACUUCAUGGUACUGCACCUAUGUAUGGGAAAAUCUUGUUACAUGACGCAGUAAGAAACAAUCAGUGGUCUCUCGGAGCAGUGCAGAAGCAGAAUACAGGGCAUUGGCAGAAGGGAUAUGUGAAGGAGUUUGGUUGAAGAAUCCUUCAGGAAUUGAGGAUGGAAACCCAAGGUUCUGUCAAGUUAUUAUGUGACAGUCAAGCAGCACUAAGUAUUGUAAGAAAUCCAAUCCAUCAUGAUCGAACCAAACACGUUGAACUGGAUAGACAAUUUAUUUCUGAGAAGGUGACCAGCAAUGAGUUCGAGAUGUCAUAUGUUCCUUCCAGACUACAAACGGCCGACAUUCUGACAAAGGGCCUCGCACGAGACAUGCUUGAGAAGCUUCAGUGUAAGCUUGGCCUUAAAAAUAUUUACAGCCAAGCUUGAGGGGGAGUGUAGAAUUAUGUGACGUAGGAGAGGAAUAAGGUAGUUAGUUAGCUGGUAGUCAGUCAGGUGUUAGCUAUAGUAUCUAGCCUAAUCUCAACCUAUAAUAGUAGUAAGUAGUAUCCUAGAUUAAUGGGAUUAUAAUGUGGUAGGUAGAGCCUAUGUAAUUACCUAAUUUAGGACCAUUUCUACUGCAUAAGUAUGCAGUAUUCUAAUGAAUAAAUCAUCAUUCACUCAAUAAUUCUAUAGCUUUUACCUACUUGAAUUUAAACUCUCUAUAAUUCUAUAGCUUUUACCUACUUGAAUUUAAACUCUCUAAGCUGAGGACAAUGUUAAGAAAUAAGCAUAUAUUGCAAUGAGCCUAACAUAGCCAUAUACAGGAUAUAUGAGUGUGUUUAGUAGUAAGAAUGUCUUAAUUAAAAAAAAGUAAUAACAAUGUUUUCUUGUAUAUUUCUAGGUUAGACAGUUAGGGAUUGUACACAGCCUACUGCUCCCUAUUAAUAUUAUGUCUAACACGACAGAUUUCUACAGAUCAGGAAUGACCAUACUACUUACGAUAUAAUAACGUAUAGCUGACUCUAAGGCUAAUCAUAGGCAGAAAAAUAAUCUACUUAUUAAUUAGCAGCUAUUGACUAACGAACUGAUUCUAACAUUAGUAAUAAAAAUUCAGAAGAUAUAACAAUAUACAAGUAACAACUAACCUCCCAAUCAUGUAGUCAUUCCCCGGGUAAAUCAAGCUCUGCAACAUAAAUCAUGGAAGUACCAGGUUCCUGCAUGUUAGGGAAAAUCCAUCCUGCGGGAGAUAUGGAAAAGUAUUCCACGCUAAGAAAAUAAUGACGUUGUUCCAAUAGGCUUCCAAACGCAAUAGCAUCUUGAUCCCCACACCACCUCACCUGAAACACCAUCAACAACACGACACCAGCGCCCAAGUAAACAAGAACUUAUUCACAAUAUUUCAUAAUAAAAAACAAAAGCAAACAACCAAGAAAAACAGAAACAGUAAGGCAACAGUUUGCAAUAGAAAGAAACUAGAAACAUUAUUAGGAUCGUAAAUUGUGAUAUCAUUU
rnacentral:lncRNA from 1 species